GGAAGUAAAUAACAAGGUUUCCGUAGGUGAACCUGCGGAAGGAUCAUUAUUGUAUAACCGAGGUGCGAGGGCUGUCGCUGACCCGAAAGGUCGUGCACGCCCGAGUGCCCUCACACACAUCCAUCUCACCCCUAUGUGCACCACCGCGUGGGUCCCCCUUUGGCUUGUUCGGAGGGGGGCUUACGUUUUCACACAAACUUUGUAUGCAGUGUAGAGUGUAUUUUUUGUUUUUGCGAUCACGCAAUCAAUACAACUUUCAACAACGGAUCUCUUGGCUCUC
rnacentral:misc_RNA from 1 species